AUGUGGAAGGAGAUUUUUCGACUGACGCACACUGAACUGCGGAUGAGCACGGCACGGCACCCGCAAACCGAUGGUCAGUCUGAGCGGGUCAAUCAGUGUCUGGAGACCUAUCUCCGGUGCUUUGUGCAUGCCUGCCCCUCCAAGUGGUCGUUGUGGCUGGCCCUCGCGGAGUUCUGGUAUAAUACUUCACCACAUUCAGCUCUGGGCACCUCCCCAUUUGAAGCUCUCUAUGGCCACGCGCCCAGGCAUUUCGGCAUCAUUGAUCCCAUGGCGUGUGCAGCCCCAGAUCUGCAGGAUUGGCUACAGGAUCGUGCCCAGAUGGAGGCAUUGCUUCGUCAACACCUGCUUCGUGCGCAGCAGCAAAUGAAGGGGUCAGCUGACAAACGGCGGUCUGAACGUACCUUCGAAGUGGACGAUUGGGCGUUCCUCAAGAUGCAACCGUACAUCCAACGUUCCUUGGCAACACGCACUAACCAGAAGCUCUCCUUCAAGUAUUUUGGUCCGUUUCAGGUGGUCCAGCGGGUGGGGCAAGUGGCACACAAGCUCCAGCUUCCACCGUCGUGCAUCAUCCAUCCUGUCUUCCACGUCUCACAGCUACGUCGCGCCUUGCCACCAACGGAGCAAGCUCUCAACGCCUUGCCUACGGACGCUGCACCAAAUCCAGAGCCAGUGGAGAUCCUCGCCCACCGUACGCGCCCUCGGGGCGCAGUACAAGUGCCACAAGUGCUCGUCAGGUGGACAAAUCAACCGGCGUCACUAGCCACCUGGGAGGACCGCGACGAGCUCCAUCACCACUACCCGAGCGCUCCAGGUUGGGGACAAGCUGGUUCUCAAGAAGUGGGGGAUGUUACGGCCCAGCCCGACACCACCAACAACCACCCACCCAAGGCCCAAGUCCGGGAGCCAACCAAGAGGGUGAGAAGGCCAAGCAACCAAUACCCAUCCACUGCGUGGGAAACCUAG
rnacentral:rRNA from 1 species